rnacentral:rRNA from 1 species
GAUGAACGCUGACAGAAUGCUUAACACAUGCAAGUCAACUUGAACUUCGGUUUGGGUGGCGGACGGGUGAGUAACGCGUAAAGAACUUGCCUCACAGAUAGGGACAACAUUUGGAAACGAAUGCUAAUACCUGAUAUUAUGAUUAUAUGGCAUCGUAUAAUUAUGAAAGCUAUAUGCGCUGUGAGAGAGCUUUGCGUCCCAUUAGCUAGUUGGAGAGGUAACGGCUCACCAAGGCGAUGAUGGGUAGCCGGCCUGAGAGGGUGAUCGGCCACAAGGGGACAGAGACACGGCCCUUACUCCUACGGGAGGCAGCAGUGGGGAAUGUUGGACAAUGGACCAAGAGUCUGAUCCAGCAAUUCUGUGUGCAAGAUGAAGUUUUUCGGAAUGUAAAGUGCUUUCAGUUGGGAAGAAAAAAAUGACGGUACCAACAGAAGAAGUGACGGCUAAAUACGUG